GCAGUUUGAUAUUGAGUGUUUGUACCACAUGUACAGGAUAGGUAGGAGCCGUAGAAGUCGGGACGCUAGUUUCGACAGAGGCGCUGGUGGGAUACUACCCUUGUGUUAUGACCACUCUAACCCGCACCACUGAUCGUGGUGGGAGACAGUGUCAGAUGGGCAGUUUGACUGGGGCGGUCGCCUCCUAAAGAGUAACGGAGGCGCCCAAAGGUUCCCUCAGAAUGGUUGGAAAUCAUUCGCAGAGUGUAAAGGCACAAGGGAGCUUGACUGCGAGACCUACAAGUCGAGCAGGGACGAAAGU
rnacentral:rRNA from 1 species